rnacentral:rRNA from 1 species
UGGGGAAUAUUGGACAAUGGGCGCAAGCCUGAUCCAGCCAUGCCGCGUGUGUGAAGAAGGCCUUUUGGUUGUAAAGCACUUUAAGCGAGGAGGAGGCUACUUGGAUUAAUACUCUAGGAUAGUGGACGUUACUCGCAGAAUAAGCACCGGCUAACUCUGUGCCAGCAGCCGCGGUAAUACAGAGGGUGCGAGCGUUAAUCGGAUUUACUGGGCGUAAAGCGUGCGUAGGCGGCUUCUUAAGUCGGAUGUGAAAUCCCUGAGCUUAACUUAGGAAUUGCGUUCGAUACUGGGAAGCUAGAGUAUGGGAGAGGAUGGUAGAAUUCCAGGUGUAGCGGUGAAAUGCGUAGAGAUCUGGAGGAAUACCGAUGGCGAAGGCAGCCAUCUGGCCUAAUACUGACGCUGAGGUACGAAAGCAUGGGGAGCAAACAGG